rnacentral:lncRNA from 1 species
GCAUUUCUACCAAGUGGGUGUUUUAAAAUAAGCGUAAUGAUGCAAAACUAUUUAAUAGGUCUGUUUUAUCAUUUUGAUUCUGCCUCAAUGCCAUACCAUUGAUUCCUUCCUUUGUUUUAAGCAUUUACUAUUCUAGGUGCAAGGAAUACAUGAGUGAACAUGGCAGACAAUAAACAUACACAGUGCAUAACUAAUGCUAACUAUCACUAGUUAUCACU